AUCUUUUAAAAAGAUUUACAACUAAGGAUUUCCCUUUCGGGAAGUCCCUAAAGUUCUAAAAUAAACUUAAAGAAAUACAAUAAUACCUUAAGUAUUCACAAGGAUGAUUCAGCUAUACAAUAAUUUUUUGGAUUGAGAAUUUUUCUGAGAAAGGUUUCAAAAGGUUUUUGGAUAGCAGAGAGUACACAGGUUGUAAACUUCUGCCUAAACCAAAUGAAACUUGUUCCUUAAAUAGAAAAAUUCUUGGGAGCAAAAAGUUUAAAAUAUCCUUGAAAAGAGCACACGUUUCACCGAAAAACUUCUGGCUAAUUCAAGAUAAGUCUAACAAGUGGAAAGAAAAUUUCCUAUUUUUACAAAAG
rnacentral:lncRNA from 1 species